GCCGCCGCCAGCACCGCCCCAGCGCCCCGUGCUGUCGUGCUUCCGACUCCGCCCGCCCUGGCAGCCGCCGCUUCCCCUGCGGGCGGGCCGGCCCCGCCGCAGCCCCCGCCGGCGGGCAGGCGGAUCGGGGCCGCCUCCGGCUGCGGCUCCCGCGAGAGCUCCCGCGGCUCAGGGACUCCCGGGAACGGGGGAGAGGACGGGCUGCGGGUCGCAGCUCUCGGCCGGGGGCAGCGGCGGUGCUGGGAUCAGCACGCCUUCUCCGGGAUGGGCCGGCGAGGAGCAACAGCUGAGUUUGCUUUCAUAAGCUUGUAGUCAUAAGCGGUUUGUGUGAGAGUUAAUUGAGCGACUUAAUGUAAUGCUCCUAGCAAUCAAACCAGAGAUUUUUUCAUACGUGAGUCUCAAAACGUUUGUUCACGCUACUUCGGGGAAGUUUUUCCUCGAUAUUAAGCCAGAAGAACUGUCACUUCUCUACCCUUAUAUUUCUUAUAACUGUGCGUAAGGAAUCACUCUUUCCACUUCAGCUGGCAGAGUUCCUUACCGUCUCCUGUAACUUCCAGCCAUGUGCUUGAUGUCGAGGGAAAAUAGAAAAUAGGACCAGAAAUUCAAGUCAGCCAUGCUGCGUACCAUCUAAUCGCCCAGCCGAGAGCGUUUCGUAUGUUAAGCAACAUCAUCAAAUUACGUGACGCAUUUUCUCCUUGGUCAGGAAAAGCUACGUACCCAUUGCAAUAUCCUGUUUUGAUAUAAGUAUUUUCCUGUAAUGUAUUCAAGCGCUAGCGCCGCAGUCAUACAGAGACGGGGAUCAUUGCCUAAUGGGCACGUCCGUGGCAUUUGCAGCCGUGCCCUCUAAUGAUAGGCUAUGGAUGCUGUUGAACAGGACUGGGGAGAACGCAGCGCUGGAGAACAGCACAGACCUGCUGGUACUGUUCUGAAGCCCAGGAGUGGAUGAAAGCAUGGAGUGUGCCCAAGUCUUUUACCAACAUGGAAGAAGCAGAUGAGCAUCCAGUCCUCUGGUUUAAGAGGAGAUUGUAAAGAUAACAGAAAAGUGGAAAAGGCAAAAAGCAUCAGGCACUAGUAGACCUUAGUAGUUCAAUGAAAAUAUCACUACAUAGGCUAUAUGUAAAUGAAGGUAGAUAAAUGAAGCAGUGGAAGCUUGGUUGUGAUGACAGGUGUUUGGAAGGAAUUUUAAACUGUUCUAGCUGGUUCUACAUCAGUAAAAAAGGGAUUGAUUUUGAGGACUGCAAAAAAUGUAUAAAAAUUAAUAAACCAGCAAGAAAAAUACAGGACUGCAGCAACUGGGAGAAAGAAAACAUGGAGGAAAACAUAUUAAUUAUACCUGACAACUGGAGUACAGCAACCUUUCUUUAACAGACAUGGAGUCAAGUUAGUCGUAUUUUUCUUGUUUUCUGUGCCUUAUGGGUUUAUGUUCACAGGAGGAAUACUGCUGAAAACUGUGUAAUUCUGAGGACAAGUGAAAAGCUGCAUUUGAAUCAUCUGUAUGUAGCCAAAAAAAUUACUUGCAAGCAUUUCAAGUGCUACUAUCUUUCCUCAAGGUCCAGAGAGGAGUUGAUGGGCAGAUACCACUUUCUCACUCUUCUCAUCUGUCCAUUGCAUGGACAGCUGCAUCUAGCAAAAUCAAAACACUGUCCUACUCCAGCAGCAGUGCUUUAUUCCCAUUCCUACUCAACUAUAUAAAUGUAGGAUAGAGAAAAUCCUGACUCAAUAGUAUGUGUCUCGCAACUGGAGGAAAACUACAUGAUGCACAAAGGGACUUUCACCAACAAAUUGGCAUUUCUCAUGCAAACUCAUUCCCAUUUAAUAAAACAACCAUGGGUUUUUUUAAAUAGAAACUGUUAUCUGUAAAGGUUAUUGGAACCACAUUAUAGCUGGAAUGUGAGAUUGUGGAAUAAGCACAGUUUGAAUGUAAUGUGAGCAUAUGGAUGAAUAAAAUGCUUUUAGUGUA